rnacentral:rRNA from 1 species
AUUGAACGCUGGCGGCAUGCCUUACACAUGCAAGUCGAACGGUAACAGGUCUUCGGACGCUGACGAGUGGCGAACGGGUGAGUAAUACAUCGGAACGUGCCCAGUCGUGGGGGAUAACUACUCGAAAGAGUAGCUAAUACCGCAUACGAUCUGAGGAUGAAAGCGGGGGACCUUCGGGCCUCGCGCGAUUGGAGCGGCCGAUGGCAGAUUAGGUAGUUGGUGGGAUAAAAGCUUACCAAGCCGACGAUCUGUAGCUGGUCUGAGAGGUUGAUCGGCCACAUUGGGACUGAGACACGGCCCAG